AAUAUACAUAUGUGCCAUUAACUGUCUUGUUUUUUCCCAUAUGGGAAUUAAAAUAGUCCAGGCGCUAAGGGGAUUUCCAUGGACAACAGACUGAAGGGGGAUCCAGCUUAUAUUUCCCUCAGUGUGCUCUGUGUGUGUUCUGUGUCUUUUCAGGAAAUGCUUCACUCCGUGACUUGACAGCUUCAGGUCAGGCUGAAUUUCCUCCUGAUAUCUUGGUUGCAGCUACACAUCUCUCAAUCCCUGAAUUUUUUUGAGCACAAUUUUGCUGUGAGGCCUUUGUUCCUCCUGGGUGGGGUGCUCAUGGCCCAUCGCCCACCAGUGCCAUUCAUCCAGCUGGUCCUUCCUGUCACCAGAUUCAUCACCUGAUGCCUCCUCACACGUCGCCAGGAUUUUGUGGACGAAGUCAGAGCUCCAGGAAGUGGAUAUCCUUGUGCUAGAGGGAGCCCAAUACCUCAGCGGCAGAAACUUUCCCUCCUUAUGCAGCAGCCAAGGCCCAGCACCCAGGAAAGGAGGCCACCACCUGCAGUGGAGUCCCUGCUGGAGCAGAUCCCCUGAAAUGCAGCCUGGAGGGGCCCUGUCUCCUCCUCUUCCUGGCUGUUCGCCUCUUGUUGCUCCACAGCAGACCUCUGGGGCCAUUGGUGUGGUCCCCUUGAUUCUUGUGAUAACAAGAUGCUGCUGCUCCUGUUGCUUAUAACAACACCAUGAACAUUCAUGGGUAUGAUUGGAAGGGUAUGGAGAAACAGAAAAUGAAGGAAGAUGUGAAGGGUGUGUGUGUGUGUGUGUAUGAAAAGUCACAUGCAUAUUUUAUAAUGUAUACCAAACAUGAAGUUCAUUUUGACAGAACUUAAAGACUCUUAAGAUUCUUUAUGGAACUGAACUACUGACAAUGUCCUGAUGUUAGUAGCAUUUGCUAAGUCUUGUGAAAAUAGGCCAGGUUGGCAUAGUGUAUGUUGGUUUCUUCCUUGCAUUUUUACCUGUACCUUUAACCUUCUCCAAACUCCUCACCAAAGACAGAGACCUGUAAUUAUGGUCAUGUCUUAACUGUGCCAUUGAAUGGAGAAUGUAUCAACUCAACUUAUUUCUUACCGGUGCUGGAGGCUCUGAACAGCUGUCACUUGUCGGAAGUUGUAGAGCUUAAGUAGUGCCCUCAUCUGGCCAGAUAAGGGCAAUGGGUUCCCUCCCAUGACAGCUGCUGACUUGGCCUGCCUUGGGCAGCUGUAACUGGGGGCAGUUGGAUCUCCUCCAGGAAGCCACCUUAGGGAGUUCUCCAAGGUCCCACUAUCCCUGUGGUAGGCAUGGUAGACAAGGAAUCUCAAAUUUUGGGCAAAAUAUGGCCUCUAAUGAGGUCUUCGACAGCAAAUUCUAGAAUCAGAGCCCUGUGGGGACUGUUUGUAAAGCCACCUGCUGGGAAAGGAGGGAGUCAUCCAUCAAUCCACUCUGGGAUUUCAUGGUACUGUUGCCUUGGUUUGUUUUAGGAUUUUUUUUUUUUUGAGAAAUUUUAGGUUUACAGCAAAAUUGAGUGGAAGGUAUAGAGUUCUCAUAUGCCCUCAUGCAUGCAUAGCCUUCCCUACUACCAACAUAUUGUACUGAAUCUGUAGAUCAAGUUGGGAAGAAUUCUUGACACUAUGGAGUCUUCCUAUCCAUGAAUAAAGAUUGUCUAUUUAGUUCAUGGAUUUCUUUCAAUUUUCUUUAGUUCAUGAGUUGUACCCCUAUCUGGCCAGAUAAGAGCAAUGGGUUCCCUCCCAUGACAGCUGAUUUGCUUGCCUUUGGCAGCUGUAACUGGGGCAGUUGGAUGCCCUCCAGGAAGCAACCUUUUAGGGAGCUAUCCAAGGUCCCACUAUCACUUUAUUCUGUGGUAGGCAUUGUAACCUUUAUUCUGUGACAUACUAUCAUCUUCUAUAACCUUUAGAUAAUUUUUUUUUAAAAAUGGCCCUACUAUGCAAUCCUUCAAUCUGGGUUUUAUUAAUAAGUUACAUCCACACAUAUACUCUUCCCAUUACCUGUACCUCUGCUCCCACCCUCACUCCCUGUAAAAGUAACCAUUAUCAGUUUUGCAUUGAUUUUUUUCCUGCCAUUUGUGGUUUUAAAGUAUAUGAAUGUAUUCUUAAUAAAAUAUUCUUUCACCUGUAUUAAAAGGAUAUACUUAUCAUGUUGUAUGAAUAAGGAUUUAUUCAUUUAAAAAGUUUUUGAUAUAUUGCCAUAUAUUUCAGGUGUGAAACAUGAUUUGAUAUUUGUGUAUCUCAUGAAAUCACAAUUCUGGUUAAUAUUCAUCACCAUACAUAGUUACAAAUAUAUUUUCCUUGUGAUGAUAACUUUAAAGUCUACCUUCUUAGCAGUAUAAUACAAUGCAGUAAUACAAUGGAGUAACAUGAUGCAAUAUGUAUAGUCACUAUACUGAAUAUUACGUCCCUCAGGACUUAUUUUAUAACUAGAAGCUUGUAUGUUUGAACCCCCUUCAUUUCACCCACCCCAAAAUCCUUGCCUUUGAACAGAUUGGCAAUCACUAUCAGAAUUGGUUUUUUCUUUUAAGAUUCCAUAUAUAAGUGAGAUCAUACAGUAUUUAUCAUUUUGGACAUCCACAUACAAAAGAAUAAAACUGGACCACCCCCUUACACCAUACACAAAAGUUAAUGUAUUAAAGACUUGGAGGGGGGCCUAGGUGGCUCAACUGGUUGAGCAUCCAACUCUUAAUUUCAGGUCAGGUCAUGAUCUCAGAGUUUAUCAGAUUGAGCCCCACAUCGGACUCUGCGCUCACAGCGUAGAGCCUGCUUGAGAUUCUCUUCCCCCACCCCCUCUCUCUCCAAAUGAGGAAAUGAAAAAAAAAUGUGGAAUGUAAUACCUGAAACCAUAAAACUAGAAGAAAACAGGCAGUAAAUUCCUUAACAUUGGUCUUAGUGGUGACUUUUUUUCCCCCUUUGGAUCUGACACCACAAGCAAAGGCAAUAAAAGCAAACACAAACAAGUGGAGCUACAUAAAACUAAAAAGCUUCUGCAUAGCAAAGGAAACCAUCAGCAAAAUGAAAACACAACUUAUGGAAUAGGAGAAAAUGUUUGCAAAUCAUUGUUCAUACUCUCCAUGGGAGCUUCCUGGGUGAAAUCUGAAAUGGGGCCCUAUGUGCAGAGGGUAGGGAGAGACUGAAGAAAGGCAGGGAACUCCAGCUUGACAGGUGGCAGGUUUCAUAAGCAAGGGGACUUGCAUAUGAAGCUUGUCUUGGGUGACCAGAAGAUGAGUAGAUUUCCACAUCUGCCCAUUAAAUCUUAAUAGUUUAUAUAUAAGUCUUCACUGAGUUCAGUCACUGAGACCAUCUCAAGGCUAUGUCCUUGGGGUGGAUUCUGGGAGCAGGGAAGGUAAGCGGGCUGCACAUUUCAAGGACACGAGGUGCUGUGAGGAGCCUCCAAUUUCCAGGUCUAGCUCAUGGGUGUAAUCAUUUCAAUGACAUCCUCUAACAAUCCAACACUUGUGACCAACUCUUAUAAUCUCACACUUCUCUUGUGCAGUGUGUCGAGUGAUCAGCAAUGUGUCCUGUUCCCAAUAUAAGGAUGCCUGGGUGUUCGAACGUCUGUAAUCUGACAUUUGUAAUCUGAGGUAACCUAUGAAACCCAUUCCAAAUCUGGCAUCGCCACCAUGGCUCUGAUGGUAAUAUUUAUAGGGCCAUUAUGGUCAGCAGUAUAACGGGCUGCCUGUGUAGUUUGACAGAAAGGAUACCAAUGCCCAGUCUUAUUGAUGGUGUGUACCACAGACCAAGUUUCUGGAUCAGUAUAGGUAAUAUUGGAUGAACUAAGAGUACUAGUCCCAGCUCAUUUGUUCUCAAUGUACUGUUUUUGACCCUUCCAAUUCCCUACCUAGAGUGGUGAUACCCAUCUUGGUGAGCUACCCACAUAAUCAACAUCCGGGCUGAUUUCUUUGUCAGGAAUAUGAUUGAGCCCACUGUAGAAAGGAAUUGUCAGGUGCCUAUCCUGUAACUGGAUGCCAUAGGAGCAACAGAAGUAGAAGGCUGAAGACUGGUACCAUUGACUCUUGAACGACACAGGUUUGAACUGCAAGGUCCGUUGAUACACAGCCUUGUUUCAACAAAUGCAUUGGAAAACUUUUGGAGAUUCGUUACAAUUUAAAAAAAAACUUGCGGAUGAACCAUGUAGCCAAGAAGCAUUGAAAAAAUUAAGUUAGGUAUAUCGCAAAUGAGUAAGAUAUUUGUGGACGGCACCUCAUUUUAUCACUACUGUAAAAUAUAUAAAAUCUAAGAAGUUAAAAAUCCAUCAAAACUUAUGUACACAAACACUACCAGACAGCAUAUGGUGCCAUUUGCAAUUGAGAGAAAUAUAAAGAUGCGGUAUUAAGUUGUAACUGCAUAAACUUUAGUAUACUGUACUGCUGUAAUAAUUUUAUAGCCACUUCCUGUUGCUAUUGCAGUGAGCUCAAGUGUGGUGAAUAUCUGCUUAA